rnacentral:lncRNA from 1 species
GUUUCUUUAGCCAAGAAAAAGCAUUUCUAGUUUGCAUGGUCCAAUCAUUGAUCGCGAAAAUUUCUACAAUAAAUUGGGUAGGUCGCUAGUAUAGUUCCCUAAGCUGUUUCUUUAGCCAAUAAAAAGCAUUUCUAGUUUGCAUGGUCCAAUCAUUGAUCGCGAAAAUUUCUAUUAUAAAUAGGGUAGGUCGCUAGUAUAGUUCCCUAGCCACGAUUCUGCUAUUUGCUGGAAUAAUCUCCCCGAUGGUUAGAAAUAGAAAGAGUAAAUAUGAUUUUCAAUACUUUGCUUACGUACAACUACAAAAUACCAAGCAUUCUAAUUGGAUUAGUUUAAUAUCAAUGGAUCCUUUAUCAGUCAUUCAUUGAAUGAUAAAUAACUACAAGUGACGGN